rnacentral:lncRNA from 1 species
UUAUGAUUGUUUUUAAUUCAUUUAAAAUACCAUUUGAUAUUCAAAAAUGCCAAAAAUAUUUUCUUAACAUCUUUGGAUGAUGAUAAGUCUAUGAAAAAUAUUCUCAUAAAUUUCUUAAUUGAUUUGAGAUUUAUUUGUGAUUUUAGUCCAAUUAUGUUAUUUUUUAUUCAUUUUUAAUUGUUUAAAAUUAGUUUCUGUUUUCAAUAAAUGUUGAGAAAAUUUGUCAAACUUUG